GCUCAACCGGGGAGGGUCAUUGGAAACUGGGGAACUUGAGUGCAGAAGAGGAGAGUGGAAUUCCACGUGUAGCGGUGAAAUGCGUAGAGAUGUGGGGAACACCAGUGGCGAAGGCGACUCUCUGGUCUGUAACUGACGCUGAGGCGCGAAAGCGUGGGGAGCGAACAGGAUUAGAUACCCUGGUAGUCCACGCCGUAAACGAUGAGUGCUAAGUGUUAGAGGGUUUCCGCCCUUUAGUGCUGCAGCAAACGCAUUAAGCACUCCGCCUGGGGAGUACGGUCGCAAGACUGAAACUCAAAGGAAUUGACGGGGGCCCGCACAAGCGGUGGAGCAUGUGGUUUAAUUCGAAGCAACGCGAAGAACCUUACCAGGUCUUGACAUCCUCUGACAACCCUAGAGAUAGGGCUUCCCCUUCGGGGGCAGAGUGACAGGUGGUGCAUGGUUGUCGUCAGCUCGUGUCGUGAGAUGUUGGGUUAAGUCCCGCAACGAGCGCAACCCUUGAUCUUAGUUGCCAGCAUUCAGUUGGGCACUCUAAGGUGACUGCCGGUGACAAACCGGAGGAAGGUGGGGAUGACGGCAAAUCAUCAUGCCCCUUAUGACCUGGGCUACACACGUGCUACAAUGGGCAGAACAAAG
rnacentral:rRNA from 1 species